UGCAGCAGAUUGACCAUCUAACCUCCUCCAUUGACCUGAAUGCAGAGGAGGAGGAGGAGGAAGGAGACGACAGCAGCUCAAACUCAGGCUCAGUCUCCAGCGAAGUGACAGCAAUCAGCACCAAUCACAGAGCUCCAGAUCCCGGAGACCCGCCCUCCUGCAGGGGAGACCCUCACCCUCACAUCAGGAGUAAAUCUCCCCCUAACAUGCAGCUGUGCCCGGUGAACUCUGCCUUUUCAGACAGGGGUCGAACUCUAAGGUUUACCUGUAGUUUGGGUUUUUCUCCCAGACAAGGUGGGCCGCUACAGAACAAUAAUCCCCCUCAAAACGUCCAUUUGUCCCCGCAAAGAAGCCUCCCUGUUCGGCCUCCGACUCCAGGACUCUCCCCUCUUACAGUUAACCUCCAUCACCAGAACAGCCCUGGAUCUCACUCCCCAAAUCCUUCUCCUGUUUCUCCGAACCCACCCCCCACUCUGAGCCCAUCUGUCGUUGAAAAGGACAAACUUGGGACCCCACAAAGUGACCAUCCGUCUGCCGGUCUGCACUCAAAAUCUGCAACUCAACCUCCAUCUGCUCCCGCAACACAGGCUAAACCUCCCAAAGGUCGCAGGGGUCGCAAACCUCCUCCGUACCCCCACCUCAGACCCUCCGAACCCGCGCAGAAAAAAGUGCCGGAGCCCCGCACAGCUCCCCCGUACCCUGAGAAAAGGCUCUCGACCACCGUGUGAGACAACGGGAGAGAGGGAGGGAGGCUGAUCGGCAAAGAAAAGCUGUGACAGUGGAGGUGAUUCAAGGCUCGCCACGUUUUCUCCAAGGUGACAGGACGCAGACGCAACUCAGGCUUCUGGGAGCCUCAAAAGGAGAAACAAAACGUCCCCGGCUCGAGACAGACGAGAGGAUCCAAACUCCAACUAAAAGGGCACCGAGCCGAAGAGGAGGAGGAAGAUGAGGAUGAGGAACAUGUGCUCCGGCUAAUGACAGAGUUUCAGGCGUGCCCUUGCUGAAGAAGGAGGCGUGUCGAGGUCCAUCAGAGAGCGAGCUGCAGACAUUAACCUUCCUCCUUCAUUAUGUGCACAGACAGGUCCACCUCCAGGAGAAAUAAAAU